UACAGAGGGUGCGAGCGUUGUUCGGAAUUAUUGGGCGUAAAGGGCGCGUAGGCGGUGCGGUAAGUCAGCUGUGAAAUCUCCUGGCUCAACUGGGAGCUUGCAGGCGAAACUGCCGUGCUGGAGUGUGGGAGAGGUGCGUGGAAUUCCUGGUGUAGCGGUGAAAUGCGUAGAUAUCAGGAGGAACACCUGUGGCGAAAGCGGCGCACUGGACCACAACUGACGCUGAGGCGCGAAAGCUAGGGGAGCAAACAGG
rnacentral:rRNA from 1 species